rnacentral:miRNA from 1 species
AACAACCUCAUCAACUGGAAGAGAUUCCUUCCGGUUGAUGAGGUAUGUACAACAACCUCGUCAGCCGGAAGGGAUUCCUUCCAGUCGAUGAGUU